GGGGACGUAGCUCAGCUGGGAGAGCGCCGGCUUUGCAAGCCGGAGGUCGACGGUUCGAAUCCGUUCACCUCCACCA
rnacentral:tRNA from 1 species